rnacentral:misc_RNA from 1 species
GAGAGAGAGAGAGAGAGAGGUUUCCACAGGAUACCAUAUACAGUUUAGCAACCCGGAUCAGCUCUAUAUUAUAUGAAGGUAGGCAAAAUAAAGUUCACAACUCCGCCUAUGAAAUGCAGCACCAACUAUGUUGCAUGGGACAGAAUGAAUUAUAGUUUUAAAUAUCUGCCAUCACAUUACAAAACAACUGCUAUUUACAGGUUUCUGGGAGGUUCUGUUAAGGGCCGCAAAAAUUGUAAUAUGUAACAGCUGUAAUGACCAUUACGUAAUGGUAACAGCCCUUACUUAACAGUUAACAGGUAACAAUUGUUACACACAUGGGCUAAUAGGGAUUCUUUUUAUUUGUGAUGAAAAGAGGUAGAGACCUUAUUUUGUUUCUAGUUAAUACAGUUCUCCAUCUGUCUCUCAAAUUUCUCAUCUCAAAUUUUCCAUUUUCACAUAUCUCCAUUGUUUCAAAUAAGAUUAUCAAAUAGUGAAGGUUUAUUUGA